CCCUGGGAAAGAAAAGAAAAGAAAAGAAGAGAAAGAAAAAAAAAGAUAGAAAAAUGUUUCAUCUGGUUUUCUAACUUUUGAGCAUGAAGUUUUUUUUUCUUUUUUUCUUUUCUUUCUCCCCACCCCUGGGAAUU
rnacentral:sRNA from 1 species